rnacentral:misc_RNA from 1 species
UGUGUUCAAAAUGCAUUUAAAAAUGAAAAAGUUUUAAUGGUUUUGACUAAAGAAAAGUUUUAAGUGUGUUUUGGGCAGAAAGAACUUCGACAACUGAAGGAUAGAUUUUCAGCAGCCAAAGUCCUUUUUAUUGUUCAAAUCCCUUUUGAGCAGAAUGGACUCUAACAGUCACAACCAAGACUUCCGGCAGCCAAAAAUCCCUUGACAAUGAGAGUAUAAAAAGGGACCAAGGUUUAUUUUUUGUCAAAAGAAACUUGUUUCUUUCUUUUCCCUUUUUCUCUCAACUACUACAGUAUGCAAGGAGGUUUUUAAGGAGAUUUCCUUGACUUUUCAAGGAUUUGAAGGUGGAUUCUUCCAUUUAGAAGUUUGGGGGAACGGAUUCAAGCUUUAGGCAUUUGGUUCUCUCACUUCCAAGCUCCAAGAAAAGAAUUAACUUUCUUUUCUUCUUGAUCUAAUAGGAAGAUCCAAGCAUGUUGAUGAGGAAUUUGGUUUUUAUAACUUCAAUUUUAUGUGAAGUUGUGGCUAAGAUGAUUUUGGGAAAUUUAUGCAUGUUAAGGUUGGGGUUUUAUGAUUUUAUGUUGAAAUUACAUGCUUUAUUGUUAGUUUAGUUAUGUUUAAGUAUUAUGGGCCUUAAAUGGCUAAUUUCCCUUAAUGGAUUUGAGGGAAUCCUUAUUUAUGUUAUGUUAGUUUUGGGGAAAGCCUAGGUUAUGUUUGCAUGGAUAAUAUAUGUUAAAAUUGAGCAUAAUUUCAAGUUGUUUUAGGCCCUAGAGACAUAUUUAUAUGUUUGGGUUGUGUUUUGAAACUUUGGGUUGAGUUUUGAGGUUUUUGGGAGAAGGGUUCUGUAGGUUUUCGAUUUGAGAAUUUUAGAAAUACUCAGGUUCGACAGCCGAAGCAUGUAGUUUCUCGGGGAAUUUAAAAAAUUUCCUGGUUUAACAGCCGAAGUUGGUUCUGCCAGGCUUAUUCUCCCUUGUCUUCUAAGGUUCAAAAACAUGAUUUUGUAGUUCCCAAGGGCUUAGAAUAAGAUAUUUAAUAUGUAUAUAGAGUUUUAGAACCUAGUAUAACACUUCAGGGUCUGAUAUUAUAGGAUCAGACUUGAGGAACUCGGAAAGUUAAGGAUCCAAGGAUAGAUUCAGUUCAAGUUAGGUGGUUGAUAGCUACAAAAGGUGAGUACUCUAACCUUAGUAAAUGAAAAAUCUUAAAAAGUAUUUAUGAUUAUCCACAUACAUCAUUUCAUUGUUUACUAGGGUGUAUGUAUAUAGAGCACGAAUAUGUUGCAUUUUUGCAUAAUCAUUAUUGAUGCAUGAUGGAUUUUAG